UGGAAGUAUUAAGAAAAAAAUUGGUGUUGUCAAGAGCUUACAUGAAGCCUGGAACUGCUGGCAGCCAUCUUUCCACCACGAUGGCAGAGCCCGCCAAAGAAAGGGAGUCACAGAGAACAGCAUUCCUCAGACAGGCUAAGAGCCAUUUUCCUUCUCGCGACCUAAUUAGAGUAUUGGAUCUAGCUGUGCCUGAAGUCAGCAUAUGCCAUAAUUUCUAAAUUGGCAUGCUUUCAUCAUUUAUACACUUUGCAGUUGGAGAACCUAAUCCAUCUUCCUCCUGGAUUUGUAUUCCUAUAGAAAUGAUGGCCUGUUCUAGGACAGCCCGUGUCGUUUGGCCUAUUGUACUAAAGAAUAAAUGAGUAAGAGUCUUGAUUACCUUACAAAUAAAUCUGGUUAACAGUUA